rnacentral:sRNA from 1 species
UACCCGACACCGCGGCAUAUGCCGGUCGC